rnacentral:rRNA from 1 species
AGUGAACGCUGGCGGUAGGCCUAACACAUGCAAGUCGAACGGCAGCACCGUAAGAGCUUGCUCUUACGGGUGGCGAGUGGCGGACGGGUGAGGAAUACAUCGGAAUCUACUUUUUCGUGGGGGCUAACGUAGGGAAACUUACGCUAAUACCGCAUACGACCUACUUGUGAAAGCAGGGGAUCUUCGGACCUUGCGCUAUUGAAUGAGCCGAUGUCGGAUUAGCUAGUUGGCGGGGUAAAGGCCCACCAGGGCGACGAUCCGUAGCUGGUCUGAGAGGAUGAUUAGACACACUGGAAGUGAGAAACGGUCCAGACUCCGACGGGAGGAAGCAGUGGGGAAUAUUGGACAAUGGGCGAAAGCCUGAUCCAGCCAUACCGCGUGGGGGAAGAAGGCCUUAGGGUUGUAAAGCCCUUUUGUUGGGAAAGAAAAGCAGCAGGUUAAUACCCCGCUGUUAUGACGGUACCCAAAGAAUAAGCACCGGCUAACUUCGUG